rnacentral:ncRNA from 1 species
UUUCGGGAGAGUGCGUAAGCCGCCGAAGGAGCAACCGACCCGGAAACUCUCAGGCAACAGGACCGUUA